UCGCAGGGCCACACACAUAGAGACUUCACUCUCACACCUAUGGUUAAUUUGGAGUGUCCUAUCUACUUAAUCCCCCGUAUUGCAUGUUUUUGGACUGUGGGAGGAAGCUGGAGAAAACAUGCAAACUCCAUGCUGCAAAAGCAAGAGUGCUCACCACUACACUAACCGUGUGGGAUAGUUUAGUAUGUUGUCCACAUAAAUACACACAAAUAGAGGUGUCUGAUGAUAUACCUUUAAGUGUGUGUGUGUGUCGACAGUGAAACGUGGCUUUUUACUACCGUUACCUGACACUUGACUCAAGGUGGCGACGAUAUGAUGAAAUCACCUUUUCCUUCUUCUCUUCAGUGGCUGCGAGCGCUGCCCUCCAGCAGACAGAGCUUCAGUGUGGUGUUUGGAGAGUGUCCUUACUGCAGCAAGCCCAUCACUGUGAAAAUGUCCUGAGGAGGGACGACGUCAGUAGAACGUCUGUGACAACCUCCCGACAAACAAACCCCCGAAGAAAAGCGAGGCGCCCACAAAAACCAGCCAGUGGAAGUGUCUGUUUGUCCAUGUGCGACCGGUGUGGGAUUGUGCACCUACAGCGCCGGGGGCGUGUCUCCCGUGGUGACCCUGUGACCUCCAAUCGCUGCACUCACAGUCCAGAUGUGAGUAUUGUGUCCUCUGUGGUCGGACUCUCUCGUCCUCGUCCCAUUUCCUGAAGAUAACUUUGUUUUCCGUGUCCUGUUGGAGGAUAAUUUCACGUGUUUGCUCUUUAAAACUGGACAUUCUACUGUGCUGUUUAACAUAUUAACACAUAAAUAAACAUGUGGAAGAAAA